rnacentral:lncRNA from 1 species
GGAAAAUAAAGGUACAAUGCUCCCAAUAUAUUUUACCUUUUCGGCGAAGUUUUGGUGCUUGCGCAAGAAAAUAACACCAUCAUUAUACCUACUACUCAUUUUUUAUUCAGGAAAUUAGCCAUAAGUAGGAAAAGCCAACUAAUUGUAAUUUCUCUAUUGCAGAGGUGAAAUUACUACUACUUUUCGAAAGCUUUUUUUGAUGCAUGUUCCCCUUUCUUAAUCUUCUAUUUGUUCAAAUGUACAUACCUGUGCUUAUAAUCAUUAUUACACUUGGUUCUACUGCAAGAGCAUACUUUAUCUUUCCAUUUCCAUCAAUCCAUCUUGAUGUGUGAUCGGGUCAUUGUGUGAUGCUGUUAGCUAUUGAUAUGGUGUCUACUUACGUCUGUUCAUAAGUACACCCUUUGUCUAUUGUUCGUUUGAGACAUAUAGCCAGCACAAGAAAAAUCUGUUGAUGAGUCCUUAGCUAGCUUUUGAUAUUUUAGUCCUUUGGCCUUGUUCACACAGAGCUCCAGAAUAAGGGAACUAGAAAUAACCGAUUCUUGUCCCCAAAAAACAGCUAGGUUUUCAUAGACCUUCAUUAUUAUAUGCUUUUGCUUUUGCUGCAUUCGUUCUUUCAGGUUGUUUCAUUAUUUUUCCAUGUUAGCUUUAGGAUGCCCAAUGUAUUUCAGUUCAUAUGUACGUGUAUUGUGUAUGGUUUAUUUGUCCUAUCUGCCGGUGUCUGAGCAUGACAAGCAGCAAAGAGGGAGGGGGGAUUUUUCAAAUACAAAGCAAAAUGUGCACAAAAUAGAUGUGGCUCACAAUGUCAUAGCAUAGACUGGAACAAAAUAUACAUUGUAUAUACUCCCUCCGGCCCAAAAUUCUUGUCUUAGGUUUGUCUAGAUACGGGUGUAUCUAAUACUAAAAUGUGACUUGAUACAUCCAUAUUUAGACAAAUCUAAGACAAGAAUUUUGGGACUGGGGGAAUAUAUCAUUACUACUAUUAUCCAGUGCUCAUGAUUCAUGUUCACAUAGAUACUGUACAUGGUAACAACAACAUACCUGAUAUUGUGGAUAAUGACUACUCCAGUGCCACAACUUUAGAAUACAUAAGACUGGUCAAAAGUGCUCCAUUGCCUCAACUGUAGAAUACACCGGACUGGCCAAAAGUUGUCCAUAGCCACAACUGUAGAAUACAUGUCACAGUUUGACCUUCAUACUCUCAAUUUGAAGCUUCAGAUCAUCCUGUUGAGCCAAAAAAUAUCAUAAAUUGCACAUUCAUUUGGGUAAACAUGUAUGCUUUCAUGUAGUGAUAUUUUGCUUUGGUAGUGUGCAUCGUAUGAUGCUGAGGCCUAGAGAUGAACCCUUCCAUCAUCUUAAAAGAAAAAAAACUUGUACCCAAUAGAAUGAAAUGUUUUUCCCUAGGGUGAAACGGCUACCUGGUCAUGAGAAUGCCCAAGGUCUGUUGCAGUUUCUGAAACUGCUGCCUGUAGAUCAGAGAUAUCUCGGAAGCUAUCCCCUGGAAGCUCCUAUAAACUGAAUCCCCACUGCUGCUGCUACUGAUGUGAUUGAUUGUGAAUUUGUCUUCAGGGUUGUAUCAACAUGGUAAGAGAUCUCGCUGCCAGCACUGCCUGAAGGGCUAGCUUCAGGAUUGACCUGUUUAUAUUUACGAGUGUGUGAUCACGUUGCGAUGGCAGAGAUGACUGGCGGAAUAAUACAGCUGACGUUCCAUUUCUGUCAGCCCACUCUGCUGUAGACAGAAUAGUUAACACUCUAAUACACUCUUUUUGUUUGUAUUCAGUUGAUAGGUGUAAUCAACAAUUUUCAGAAACCAAAAUCAAAUGCAGACUUGAGUAUUACCUGAGGGCGCAGUGGAAAGGCUUCCGGAGCUAGGAGAAGAAAUAGUUGAAGAAGAUAUGGUCUUGGCUGUUUCGCAGGCAUCAGGUGUAGAGUGCACGAAUGACAAUUUGCCCUUUGAAAUGACGUACGCCUUACAGAAGCUUGGAAUGCAUUUAGAGAUUUUUGUUGAAGUCUUGCUUCCUUUGAGCUUCCUGCAAACAAUCAACAAUGGUAACCACAUGAUUAAGAUUGCACUAGGCAUUUCUUAUCCUAUGCUGCACUGGGUUUUAUUUUUUAUAAAAAUUGUUCAGCCUAAAUUUUCUGCAAAUUUCCAUAUUGAACUUGGAACCAAGUAGUUGCAGUGCAACCUUCAGUGUUAGGCCAGUAGCUGGGGAAUUAAAUGAGAAGACAAUGAUAAUCCUACCAAAUGCUUUUCUCACUAUGACUCUUUGGUAUAUAGCAUUUUUUCCUACCUGUUGCCUAUUUCGAAUAGAUAGAUGGUUUGCUUUGGAAAGGGAUUAGAUAAGGCCUAUGAGUCAAGUGUGACAAGCAAGCCAUGCACUUCUAUUUAUUAUUAAGCUCUAACUGAAUUUGUGAUAAUGGUGUUUCAGAGAUAAUACAAUCAAUCCAAUAGUUACUUUUGUUGUUCUUUUUGGAUGGACUAAUCUGAAGAUGCUAGCUAGCUUGCACCAUCAUCAUAUAGUCUAGAAGGAAGGGCAAGGAUUAUAGUGAAAAUAAAGGUACGAUGAUCCUAAUAUAUUUUACUUUCUUGGUGAAGUUUUGGUGGUUGCACAAGAAAGUAACACACAUCAUUAUACCUACUGCUCUCUUUUCAGGCAAUUCGCCAUACGGAGGAAAUGCCUAGUAAUCCAUUUUUGUACUUCAUUUCUUACUAUUGACUGUGUGAACUGUUGUGGUAGGACUCAGGCUUUCAAAGUUAUUUGGCAUGUGGACAUGUUUUUAUUUUCGUUUGUACAGUUUUGUGUUCUUUUGGCUUCAGGUUGCUACUGCACAGAAAGUGCAGUGAGCUCAGGUGAUGCAUGAAAAAAACUGCAGACCUAGCAUAGUUUUUGUAUUUGGAUUUUGUAACUAAUUGUGUGAUGCCCUUAUGUUAAAAUGCUAAUUUGUUCUCCAAGUAGGCCAACGAUGGGUGCUAACAAUGAUACAUACAUAUCAACAAUUCUAAGGAAGUGCAUAUGUCAGAUGCAUAGCAUAUGUGUGACCCUGCGACUAGAGGAAAUCCAGGAAUAUAUGAACUCAAAUCGACCAUGAUUUAAUUGGAAAAAUACUCUUCAGCAUCUAAGCGAUCACUCAAAAGUAUUUUGUACAAUAUAACCAGCUUGAUGAUUGGAGCAGUCCCAGCAGCUAAUUAGUCCUACUAAUUAGUACUCCGGUGUUGAAUCACUCAGCGAAGUAUGCACACUGCCCUUCAAACUUGGCUAUUAGCAUAGUAGCAACGGGCUCACAAAAAGUUCUAAGUUAGUUUUUACCUUAUCAGAAACGGCGGCCGCCGUGCUGCAUGACCCUCCUGCGGCAUCACGGGCGAAGCGGCGCUUCACCCAGCUGGUCGUAUGCCCUGCAGUUCCCCACCUUCUCCCAGGGAUCUGGUCGGUCCAGGAGGGGAACGGCCUUGGCCGGGGCUUGGGCGCGUCGGAGUUAGGCAGCGCUGGCCGCGGCUGCUCCCUCAUGUCGCUGGCCAUGACCACGCCCCCUCACAGCGGACCUCACCUUGUGGAAUCAUCUCUCAUGGAGCUCAGUUCAGUGGAAUAAUGGCACAUUGGAGCGUCUACCGCGGAUAAGGCAAGGGAAAGCAAUUCUUUAGUAAAUGGACAAUAUAGGAAAUGUGUUAUUAAGUGGUGGGGUCCAAGAGGGCAGCUGUUUGCACAUGUCAUGCCACUUGUUGGUUUGUAUGUUACGGCAUCUUUCGUAAAUUUGGUUCGUCAUCUGUCCGCGGUAGGAACCAGUCCACAUACACCGAUGCUGGGAGCGGCCAUCCAAUACUAUCAUGUAUAUGUCGCAGGCAAAAGCAACUCUAACACGUCGAUCCAUUUUAUCCGCACAUGUUUGUUUGGGUCAUUGCUGCAGACAAAAAGUCAGCCCAACGCGCCGACCCAAACCGACGUGCGUACGCAUUUCGUCCAUCUACUGACCCAUCCCUGGCCCAAAUUUGGGCCUCAUUUGCGUCGGUGCGGACAUGAAGCGGGCGCGCGUAACGCACACCUACUACUCCCCCUGGCCCGCCAGUCAGUGGCCAUUCUCUUCCACCCCUAUUGACAGCAAGCCCUAGCCUGUCCCACCCCAUCGCCGCCCAGUUCCGGUGCCCCUGCUAGCAGUCCGUGCCCACACACAUCCCCCGCAUGCCGCUGCCUCCCACGUCGCCGCCGGGCCACCGUAGUUUCCCACCCCCACCCCGACAUGAAGUCGCCACCGCGGCCUCGGCCGGCUCCUUCGUCUGAAACUAUGAUAUAUUUUAUUUGGGUUGUGGAACUAUGCUAUAUUUGUUUGCUUGUCAAACUAUGCAAAAUUUGUGUAUAUUUGUUGAAAAACGACGCCAAGCCGGUCACGCCGGCAAAUAUGGCUCGACGCUUGGGCACACUGCCGACCCAAAUAAAAAACAGGGCGGCCGACCCAAACGAACAAAAGCGGACAAAGCGCGCGCCUGUUUGGGCCGUCGUGUUGGAGUUUCUCUAAAGGGCAAUUUCAAAUUCAAAUAAAGUCCAAUCCAUAGCGCCCGCCGGAUCACAACCAAAAAGAGGCAAAUAUGUUUAAAAAUUUACAUGCCCGAUCACAAAAGAUAUCAGUCCGACAGUCCACGCAAGAAAUUCUGCCCUGUUGGACCAGUAAUCCGAGCCUCCACACUCACACUCAAGGUGCUGUGACAUUGUACAUGGCGACGUCUGGACGGCGGGCGACACCAUCGGAGCUCCGCGACCCUUGUCGCGACCUUCACCAUGUCCACGAUAAGCAUGCCCACCGCCAUUGAAGCCAUCAGCACGCCCCUCUAUCGGCUUUUCGCUUGAGCUUCUCCCCCUUUGCGUCCUUCGCUUUGACGCGAUGAUUUUGCUGCAUCGCCGAGAUGAUCUUCCAAGCGAGGGUGAUGCUGGGAUCCUCCUACACCUCUGCCACCUCCAACUCUGACAUCCUCUCGUCCCGUUCCAUGCGUCAUCGGUGGGAGGGAGGAAGAGAGUGGGAGAAAAGGGCGGGAAUUGGGUGGAGAGCGGCAAAAGAGAGUGGGGAUUUUGUCAUGGAAACAAGGUGGGCAGGUACAAAAACGCGGGCUCCGCCUUCCUUUUGGAUGGGCCAUGGGUGUAAGAGUCAGACGUGUCUGUGUCGGGAAUCCCGUAAAACCCCCACAUUUGGUUAUGAUUUACGGGGAAAACGUGGUCCGGACCGCUCAACGGACCGAUACAAGAUAGUGCUGGACAACACACCACGUCCGGACCGCGUGGUCCAAACAUACGCGAGCGGUUUGAGGGUCCGCGUUGGAGAUGCCCUUAGUUCUAUGGCCCCUGCCUAUAUAACAGCAGUAUGGCCGGACCUAUUUUCUCCAUAGGCUCACCCAUUUGAGUGCAUUAGAUUGAACUUUUGGGACAUUAUCACCAUUUUUGCUUUGCUCAUAGUCAAGUUCUUAUUUAGUUUAGAGGUUAUGCUGCCACUAACGUAUGUUCAUCUUAGGUUAAUAGAUUUUGUAGCUGAAUAAAUGUGAUAUGGGAAAUCCGGCAUCCCAAAGGUUCUUCCCUAUUGGUUUCAAGAUUAAUAAUUUGGUCAUUGUAAUCUGUUUCUGGUUUAUCGGUUUUGUCCUUUCAUUCCCUCCUACACCGAAAAAAGAAAGGAAAAUAAUUGCCGACAAUGGCGAUUUAGACUUUUGCUUCUCUAUAAUUAGUUGGUCGAUCAGUAGAUGAACACGCAAGGCAAGAACCAACCAAACCCAACACACCAGACACGCGUGCAUGGUGGCUUAUCCGGUGGGAGACUACCGCUUGCUCCCGCUGAACCAUUGUGUCCCACAACGCUUGCACCUGUCCACCCGUGAACGUUGUGUCCCACUGCCGCUUGCACCGUACCUGCCCACCCGUGAACUGCUGCUUGCACCCGUGAAUGUUGUGGCUCACCCGAAAAAUGCAUAUCUGAGCGCUCGCAGGUGCCAGCCAUCUAUUCCAAGGGGAGAAAAAAAACUCUACUCCCAAGGAGUUUUUCUUUUCUUUCUAAAGGGUCUAUUAUUCUCAGGUACUCUCUCCGCCCCAUAAUAUAAAAUACUUUUUGACAUUACAUCAGUGUUAAAAAACGUCUUACAUUAUGGGACGGAGGGAAUAAGUUUUAUUCACAUAAACAAGUGUGACGACCGGUCAAAAUCUUACCACUCAAUUAUUAUUUUCAAAAAUGAUCCAUAUCUAUUAUCAGUGUUCAUUGAAAAUACAAAGCAUAUCAAACAUAUAAAAAUUACAUUGAGAUUCCAAGACCAUCUCGCAUAGCCACUACUGUCGCGGACGCUAGCCAGGAAGUCUUCAUGCAUGUGCCCCUUGUUCAAUACGUGGAGCCGCAAUCGUCAUUGUUGAACCCUUGCCUAGAUCUGAAGCAUCUGACAUCAAAUCCCGUCACAUGACGAGAAACCCUAACCUUAUCACCCCAAGGAGACGACAGGAAUCUACGCUAGAGCUUCGUCGGCUAUGUUCAAACGGACUGAAAGACAAACUCGAAGAAGUAGUGCCAUUAUCCACUCGAGUGUCGACCUGUGAGGACUAAAAAACCUGACCUAAACUACUAACCGAAUCGAAGGCAUCGAGAUUCCCAUCCCCAUCAUCGAUCGACGGAGCAGUAGAAAAGGGAAGGUGAAUCCACGGGCUCGCCGGUGAAGUUUCGAGGAGAGAGUUUGCCCUAGCCACCUAAAGUUUACUCUCCCCGAACAGCAAGCGACCGAACGAAAACACAUGUCCGAGCGCUCCCAACCAUCCAUUCCCAAGGAGUUUUUUUUCCUUUUUGAGGGUCUAUUCUCUAAGAGUUUUUAUUCACGUAAACAAGUGUGAUGUGAGAUAAUUAAAAAAGAUAUUUAUCUUUUCGACCUACAUCGGACCUCCUAUAGUUUUGAGCAACGUCUCGAAGCAACCAGAGAUAGUUUCUGAUAGACUUUGGUCAAUGUAUCCUGGCCAGCAUGCUUCAAUGGUUACUAAAACAACCACCUUUUGUUUCAUAUCAAUGAGACCAAGAUCUUUCCCCUUUCGAAGAACUCCGAGCAAGCUAUAUAUAAACUUUAGUCUUCCCUUGCCGCUUCUAUGGUGAAAAUAGUAUAUGAGCUCACUACAUAUAGUAUAUAAGCUAUUCUUUUGUGCAUCGUUUCCAAUCUUAUGUGCUCACUGCACAUAGUAUAUGAGCUAUUCUUUUCAAGCAACAAAUAUAUUAAUGCAUUCUCUCACAAUAAGUAACUUACACAUUGCCUUUGCGCCAUUGGCGCAACGGGUCAUCUAGUUGUUAUAACUUGCAAUCUUACCAUGUGUGUUUGAGCAUGUUCUAGUGAUUUCUAGAGACAGCUCAGUGUUCAUGUCUUGUUGUGCUUUACCUGUACAUCAUGCCCAUGCCUUUUGUUAUUAUGUUGGGGUGCUGUAGCAUGUUGUUUUGAUGCUUGCAAUAUGCCUAGUUGUUGUUUUGGACAGAUUGUUGCUAUAACUUGUAUAGUGUGUGUGUGUUGAAACGUUGCUCCGUUUUGAGUGUGCUCUAUAUUAAACUUGCUUGACUUUGCAUGUAGUUUCAUAUUAUCAUGUUGCAUCCAUGUUUUGAGGUGUUUGCUUGAUGUUUGGGUGCAUUUUGCAUCAAUGCCAUGUUUAACUUGUUUUGCUCAUAUCUUCUAGGCCGUAGCUCCGAACCAAAUGAACUUUAUAUGUAACUUGACUAGAAUCUCGUGUAGAUCAUCCUUGUGUAUCUUAACUUGCUGUUUAACAACUUCAACUUAACGUUUGUUCAGAUCUGGACCAACUUCGAAAUAUGCAUAUGAGGACUUACCGGAAUUGUUAUAUGUUGUUCCCGGCCUCAUUUAAACUUGCCUUGAUGUGUUGCUCUUAUUUGCAUUAUCUCUUGCCAUGAGUAGCUUCAUGUAGAUUUGUCAUGCAACAUGCUUGUUGUGCAUCAUGCCUUGUUCAUGUGUGGUGUGUUUACUAUGUUGUGUGCUUCUUUUCGAUAGUUCCUGUUUCGCUGCGAUCGUGAGGAUUCGUUCGUCUACGGUUGGUUCGGCUUCAUCCGUUCGUCUUCUUCAUGGAUUCGUUCUUCUUCCUUGCGGGAUUUCAGGCAAGAUGACCGCUACCCUGGAUCUCACUACUAUCACUGCUAUGCUAGUUGCUUCGUUCUAUUGCUAUGCUGCGUUACCUAUCUGUUGCUCUUCAAGCCAUCCCAAAUCGCCAUGAACCUCUAACCUUUGACACCUUUCCCAUGCAAACCGUUGUUUGGCUAUGUUACCGCUUUUGCUCAGCCCCUCUUAUAGCGUUGCUAGUUGCAGGUGAAGUUGAAGAUUUCUCCAUGGUGGACAGGAUUUUUGUUGGGAUAUCACAAUAUCUCUUAUAUUAUUAAUGCAUCUAUAUACUUGGUAAAGGGUGGAAGACUCGGCCUUUUGCCUAGUGUUUUGUUCCACUCUUGCCGCCCUAGUUUCCGUCAUACCGGUGUUAUGUUCCCGGAUUUUGCGUUCCUUACGCGGUCGGGUAAUUUAUGGGACCCCCUUGACAGUUCACUUUGAAUAAAACUUCUCCAGCAAGGCCCAACCUUGGUUUUACCAUUUGCCUCACCACCACCUAUCCCUUUUCCCUUGGGUCGGCCAACCCGAGGGUCAUCUUUAUUUUAGCCCCCCCGGGCCAGUGCUUGUCUAAGUGUUGGUCCGAACCGAGCGAUGUCCGGCGCCCCCUGGGCAACCAGGGUCUAUGCCAACCCGACGUCUGGCUCAUCUGGUGUGCCCUGAGAACGAGAUAUGUGCAGCUCCUAUCGGGAUUUGUCGGCACAGCGGGAGGCUUUGCUGGUCUUGUUUUACCAUUGUCGAAAUGUCUUGUAAACCGGGAUUCCGAGUCUGAUCGGGUCUUCCUGGGAGAAGGUCUAUUCCUUCGUUGAUCGCGAGAGCUUGUCAUGGGCUAAGUUGGGACACCCCUGCAGGGUAUAAUCUUUCGAAAGCCGUGCCUGCGGUUAUAGGCAGAUGGGAAUUUGUUAAUGUCCAGUUGUAGAUAACUUGACACCAGAUCCGAAUUAAAACGCAUCAACCGCGUGUGUAGCCGUGAUGGUCUCUUCUCGGCGGAGUCCGGGAAGUGAACACGGUUUCUGAGUUAUGUUUGACGUAAGUAGGAGUUCAGGAUCACUUCUUGAUCAUUGCUAGUUGACGACCGUUCUGCUUGCUCUCUUCUCGCUCUUAUUUGCGUAUGUUAGCCACCAUACUUGCUUAGUCGCUGCUGCAGCCUCACCACUUUACCCCUUCCUUUCCCUUUUAAGCUUUGCUAGUCUUGAUACCCAUGGUAAUGGGAUUGCUGAGUCCUCGUGGCUCACAGAUUACUACAACCACAGUUGCAGGUACAGGUUAUUCGAUGAUCAUGACGCGAGAGCGAUGCUUGCUUGCAUUGAGUUCUUCUUCUGCUUCUUCUCCGAUCAGGGGAUAGGUUCCAGGUCGGCAGCCUGGGCUAGCAGGGUGGAUGUCGUUUGAGUUUCUGUUUGUGUUUCAUCCAUAGUUGGAUGAUGCUCUUAUGUAUUGUGAUGUUGUAUUCAUGUGGAAUUGUAUGCCUUUUGUAUGUAUCCCCAUGUAUUAUGUAAUGUUGAUGUAAUGAUAUCCACCUUGCAAAAGCGUUUCAAUAUGCGGGUCUAUCCUUGGUGGGACCUUCGAGUUCCUUUUGGAUAGGGUCGCAUAUUGGGCGUGACAAGUUGGUAUCAGAGCCUCGACCGACCCUAGGAGCCCCCUUGAUUGAUCGUGUAGUUUGGCCGUUGUUGAGUCUAGAAGAAAACUGUUUUCGGAGUCUAGUUAUAUCGGAGAGUAGGAAUUCUUUUUACUCCUCUGCCCCUUCGUCGCUCUGGUAAGGAAUCUGACGUAGGUGUUUUGAAUUACUCCUCUUCCCAUUCAAACUUUUCUUUAGGUUCACGCAGUUGGUUUUCCGAUCGUUGGUUCUCAGCUCUUUUCACCCGGUGCAUUUCUCGUCAAGUCGACUCGAGCCUCUUCAUCAUUGAGUUCAAUCCUCAGUUGUUUUCUUUUCCCACCCGCCCACCCCUUUUUCUCCUCAGAACCGGAGUCCGUAAUCGAGUAUCCAUCCUACUCGUGCGAAGUCCUUGCCUUCUUUCUUCAAUGUUUUCAACCGGUGUUUUCUCUUCAAGAUAUUCGUCGAUUUCCCCUUCCAAGAUGAUUUUGUUUUCCCGCCCUCCCACCCUUUUUCUUCCCGGAGUCUGACUCUCUCUCGACCAUCUAUUUCAUUCGUGUGGAGCCUCUUCAGUCUUUCGUCAAUCAUUUCAACCGGUGAAUUCUCGUCUCGUUUGACAUUCUUCAUCUCAUUUUCUUCUCCGGUGGACUCAAGUCAAGUUUUCCGGGUUGAUCAUAUUCUUUUCCUCGGCUCAAGUGUUUUCCAUGCUCGUUCGUCUCUUGCUUUUCCUUCCGGAGUGCUCAAGACGUCUCAGGAGAUUCGUCUGUGUUCUAAUUAAUUCGAGGUUGUCACCUCAUUCAAAUAUUUCUAUUGUUCCGGUGCAUCAUCAAUCUUUUCAACAAUCCUUUUCAACGGUGUUAUCUCUUCAGUGGGCCCUAACCCACAGGUCUUUUCCCAGGAUCUUACCUGACUCUUCUAAUUCCCCCGGAGUUAUUCUCAAUUCUUUUCAAGUGUGACGUAAGAAUGGAUUUCAUCAGUCACAUGCCUUUCCAAGACCGAUUUCAAAUCAUUUCAUUGUUGGCUCAAUCCCUUCCUCUCUGUUUUUCAUUCUCCCGAAGUAUCUCAGUAAUUUUGGUGUUGUUUCUCGUCGUCAUUUGAAGACCGAAGAAGAGUUUUUCCUCUAAAUCUUGUCUGUUCUCUUGAAGAUUCGCGGUUCUAGUUUCAUGCUAUCGUCUCGAUUAUUCCAUUUGUCAGAUAUUCUUUUCUUACCCAUCCGGAGUUUGUCAGAAGUUUUCUUUCCGUUUCUUUACACCGGAGGCCAUCAUUCCAGUUAUCGUUCUGUAUUUAUCUUGGUGCAUCUAUCAAGUGUUCUUUAAUCAGCUCAUUAUCUCUUCGUUCUUGUGCAUCUAAAUCCCCUCUAGCAUAUUUGUUCUUCUAAUUCUUCCCGGUGCUUCAUUCUUUUUCAUCACUCAUUUUCGAAUUUUUACGGUGGUUCGUUCAAGAUUCUUUUUCCUUGAUUAUCAUUUUACUUCAUUCGUUCUUUCCAGUCCUACUGGUGGUUCAUGAAGACCUUCUCAAGUUUGCGACAUGUCACUUCUCAAUCCUUUUCAAGAAGAAUAAGUAGUACGCGAAAUCCAUUGUUGGUCAUCAAUUUAAUUUGAUGAAGGAUAAGCAUACAAUAAAUCUUAUUCUUAUUUCAUCAGAGUGAGUAAUCCUUUCCUUCGGAGUUUGUUCUUAAUGAAUAAAUUCUAGUUCUAAGUGUUUUCAUCUUUUCUCUACGGAGUUCAAAUUUCCUUGGUCAUUUUGUAGGAACCUCCAUUUAAAUCAUCGCAAGGCUCAUCUUAUUCUUUCGUCCUUCAUUUUAUCUCGUCAUCCUCUUGUUACCGGAGUUCUUCACGGUGGUUCUUCAUGAUUUAAUUCAUUGUUCAAGAGUUCAUCAAGAUUCUUGUUGGUGGAGUUCAAGUAUCUUUUUCUUCUCAUCUCGAAGUGCAAUUAAAUUCUCCGUAUUCUUUUGAAUUGGAGUUUUGCAUUUCUUCGUUCUUCCCAGAUAUUCAAAUCCAUUCAUUCCUUCCUUCUAAGUUCAUUUUUUUCCAUUCUUUAAUUCUUCUGGAGGCUUUGUUUGUUCUUCUCGUCAGGUGUCAUUCCAUCCUCUCAAACUCAUGUUCUAUUCUUUCCUUGUUCAACUGGAGUGCUGCCUAAAUUCCUUCAGUCUUAUUCGUUACUUAUCUCGUUCUAACCGGAGUGCUUUCAUAGUCUAUCUGAUUCCGUGAGUAUUUGAUUCUCGUCAUUCUUGUCGUUCCUCUCUUAUUCUCGAGUGCUCUCGAUUCUUUGCUUCUUCUCUGGAGUUCUUGUUUCACCUCUUCCUCUUUCUCUUCCGUCUCGGUCCUAAGAUCUCGGGACGAGAUCUCUUGUUAGUGGAGGAGUGUUGUAACGCCCCGGAUCCGAUGCGCCAGGUGUCUGCCAGUUAUUCGCCAUCGUUGCCAUGUCAUUUUCUUGCGUGUUGCAUUUCAUCAUCUCAUCAUGUGCAUUUCAUUUUGCAUACGUGUUCGUCUCAUGCAUCUGAGCCUUUUCCCCGUUGUCCGUUUUGCAAUCCAGCGCUCCUAUGUCCUCCGGCGUCCCCCUCUUCUCUCUUUUCAUGAGUGGGUGUUAAACUUUCUCGGAAUGGCCCGAGGCUUGCCAAGUGGCCUUGGUAUACCACCGGUAGACCGCCUGUCAAGUUUCGUGCAAUUUGGAGGUCAUUUGGUACUCCAACGGUUAACCAGGUAACCGUAAAGCCCCUCUCUCUUUGCAGCCCAACACCCCUUACAAAGUGGCCCAAAACCCAUCUAACUCCCCUCCAUGCUCUCGGUCGUUCGAUCACGAUCGUGUGGGCGAAAACCGCUCCUCAUUUGGACUCUCCUAGCUCCCUCUACCUAUAAAAACGUCUUCCCCUUCCCAUUUUCGGAUCAAUUCCCCCCGAAACCCUAAUUUUCCCCUCCGCGCCGCGCCGGACAUGUCCGGACCGGACCGGACANNNNNNNNNNNNNNNNNNNNNNNNNNNNNNNNNNNNNNNNNNNNNNNNNNNNNNNNNNNNNNNNNNNNNNNNNNNNNNNNNNNNNNNNNNNNNNNNNNNNNNNNNNNNNNNNNNNNNNNNNNNNNNNNNNNNNNNNNNNNNNNNNNNNNNNNNNNNNNNNNNNNNNNNNNNNNNNNNNNNNNNNNNNNNNNNNNNNNNNNNNNNNNNNNNNNNNNNNNNNNNNNNNNNNNNNNNNNNNNNNNNNNNNNNNNNNNNNNNNNNNNNNNNNNNNNNNNNNNNNNNNNNNNNNNNNNNNNNNNNNNNNNNNNNNNNNNNNNNNNNNNNNNNNNNNNNNNNNNNNNNNNNNNNNNNNNNNNNNNNNNNNNNNNNNNNNNNNNNNNNNNNNNNNNNNNNNNNNNNNNNNNNNNNNNNNNNNNNNNNNNNNNNNNNNNNNNNNNNNNNNNNNNNNNNNNNNNNNNNNNNNNNNNNNNNNNNNNGGCGCCGCCGCCAUUCCCUGCUUCCCGCCGCCUCGGGCACCGCCGUCCGCCGUUGGUGCGGCCCUGCCAGCUUGCCGGUGCCCCUUCUUCUCCCUGCCGCGCCGCCCCGGACCUCCCCGAGCUCCUCCGCGCCGGUGCGCGCCUCCUCCGGCGACCGCGCCUCCCUCCGGCCUCCUCCGCGCCCCGUGCCGCUCACCGGAGUUCACCUCGCCGGAGCUCCGGCCGGAUCCGAGGGAGUGGACGAGAUCCACCACUCCCUCGAACGAAACGGCGCCCCGUCCUGGAUCCCCUCGUCCCGGAACGUCCUCGUCCACGUUUUUCGCGGGGUAUAAUUCCACUAAGUCCCAGAUUGUUGUAAUUUUCAUGCUCUGUUCAUCAUGCCAUAUCUUUGCAUCCGUAGCUCCGUUUCGUGCGUGUAAUAUGUCAAAUUGUUCACCUCAACGAGUACAUCAUUUCAUUCCAUUGCAUCAUAUUCAUUGGAGGUCAUCUGGAUGCCUGAAUCAUCGUCGUAAGAGUGCUUCAUAAUGUUUUCUGCUGUCUGUUAACAGAACGAGCUCUUUUGUCAUUUUUGUCAUGAUUGAUGUGUGCAUCCUAUGGGGUUGAUGUCUUCAUGUGUUUUGAACUAUGCCAUGUCUUCUUUACAGUGGUGUAUGCCAUGUAUUUUUGUGAUCAAUGUGGUGACUAGCACAAGCAUGCAAACUAGGCAUCGUGAUGUUGCUGUUUUAGUCCCUGUUCUGCUGUUAUUUUGAUGCCAUGUAAACUUGAUGCUACAGAGAGAUCCAUGCAUAUUUUGAGAUACUUCAGUAAGGGUGUUUUGAACAUGUGGUUAUGCUCUAUCCAUUCAUGUCCUUGGUUGCAAUUAUGGAGUAGUCUAGCAUGUCCUUUUCGUGCUCUACUUUUGCUUCAAAAUGUUUCCUGGCAGAUUGUUUACGUGUUAUUCAAUUUGGCCAAGCUUGUUAUAGUUGAUCCUUGCAUGCUAUGGACUUGUUCUUGCCUUGGUUUGUUACACAAACAUGUCUUGUUGAUGAUGCUAUGCUUAUCUUGUCAUGAAAUGACUUGUGGUGAGUGAAUCGAGCUUGUUAAGUAGUGUUCAUGAUGUUGCUGUUUUGCUAGGCUGAAUCUGUUAUUUCGCGAUGCUAUGUAAACCUGCUUCUACAAAUGAUUCUAUGCAUAAUCUGGAGAUGUUCUAUAAACAUGUUUUGAUCUACAUGUCAUCCUCUAACCAUUCAUGCCCCUGGUUGUAUUUAUAGGUUGUUGUAGCUUGUUCAUAUCUUACUCCAAAGUUGCUUCAUAAUGUUAAUGUCAGCAUGUUUACAUUAAGUUCAGUUGUUAUCAUGGUUGUUCCUAGUGUUCCAUGCACCCUAUGACCUUGAUAUUGCCAUGCUUAACUUCACAAACAUGCCUUAUUAUUGUUGGUUGCCUUGCCAUACCGUAUAAUGCUCUGUGGUGAGUGGUACAAGCUCAUCUACAUGCCUUCAUAAUUAUGUUCCUGCCAUGUUUGAAUCUGUAUUAUAACUUGCUAUGUUUACGUGGGUGCCAUCAUAUUUUCUGAUCCUUUUUGGCUUAUGGUCAGUAAAGGACUUUUGAUCUAUGCAAUUAGUAGAUUCAUGCCAUGCCUUUGUUUGCCAUGAUAAGUUCCUGUAACAUGUUGUUUGAUAGCUCUAAACAUUGCAUCGUGAUGUUAUUUUCUGCAAAGUCUGGAAUUGUUAUAACUUGCAAUCUUACCAUGUGUGUUUGAGCAUGUUCUAGUGAUUUCUAGAGAUAGCUCAGUGUUCAUGUUUUGUUGUGCUUUAUCUGUACAUCAUGCCCAUGCCUUUUGUUAUUAUGUUGGGGUGCUGUAGCAUGUUGUUUUGAUGCUUGCAAUAUGCCUAGUUGCUGUUUUGGACAGAUUGUUGCUAUAACUUGUAUAGUGUGUGUGUUGAAACGUUGCUCCGUUUUGAGUGUGCUCUAUAUUAAACUUGCUUGAUUUUGCAUGUAGUUUCAUAUUAUCAUGUUGCAUCCAUGUUUUGAGGUGUUUGCUUGAUGUUUGGGUGCAUUUUGCAUCAAUGCCAUGUUUAACUUGUUUUGCUCAUAUCUUCUAGGCCGUAGCUCCGAACCAAAUGAACUUUAUAUGUAACUUGACUAGAAUCUCGUGUAGAUCAUCCUUGUGUAUCUCAACUUGCUGUUUAACAACUUCAACUUAACGUUUGUUCAGAUCCGGACCAACUUCGAAAUAUGCAUAUGAGGACUUACCGGAAUUGUUAUAUGUUGUUCCCGGCCUCAUUUAAACUUGCCUUGAUGUGUUGCUCUUGUUUGCAUCAUCUCUUGCCAUGAGUAGCUUCAUGUAGAUUUGUCAUGCAUCAUGCUUGUUGUGCAUCAUGCCUUGUUCAUGUGUGGUGUGUUUACUAUGUUGUGUGCUUCUUUUUGAUAGUUCCUGUUCCGUUGCGAUCGUGAGGAUUCGUUCGUCUACGGUUGGUUCGGCUUCAUCCGUUCGUCUUCUUCAUGGAUUCGUUCUUCUUCCUUGCGGGAUUUCAGGCAAGAUGACCGCUAUCCUGGAUCUCACUACUAUCACUGCUAUGCUAGUUGCUUCGUUCUAUCGCUAUGCUGCGUUACCUAUCUGUUGCUCUUCAAGCCAUCCCAAAUCGCCAUGAACCUCUAACCUUUGACACCUUUCCCAUGCAAACCGUUGUUUGGCUAUGUUACCGCUUUUGCUCAGCCCCUCUUAUAGCGUUAUUAGUUGCAGGUGAAGUUGAAGAUUUCUCCAUGGUGGACAGGAUUUUGGUUGGGAUAUCACAAUAUCUCUUAUAUUAUUAAUGCAUCUAUAUACUUGGUAAAGGGUGGAAGACUCGGCCUUUUUCCCAGUGUUUUGUUCCACUCUUGCCGCCCUAGUUUCUGUCAUACCGGUGUUAUGUUCCCGGAUUUUGCGUUCCUUACGCGGUCGGGUGAUUUAUGGGACCCCCUUGAUAGUUCUCUUUGAAUAAAACUCCUGCAGCAAGGCCCAACCUUGGUUUUACCAUUUGCCUCACCACCACCUAUCCCUUUUCCCUUGGGUCGGCCAACCCUAGGGUCAUCUUUAUUUUAGCCCCCCGGGCCAGUGCUUGUCUAAGUGUUGGUCCGAACCGAGCGAUGUCCGGCGCCCCCUGGGCAACCAGGGUCUAUGCCAACCCGACGUCUGGCUCAUCCGGUGUGCCUUGAGAACGAGAUAUGUGCAGCUCCUAUCGGGAUUUGUCGGCACAGCGGGAGGCUUUGCUGGUCUUGUUUUACCAUUGUCGAAAUGUCUUGUAAACCGGGAUUCCGAGUCUGAUCGGGUCUUCCUGGGAGAAGGUCUAUUCCUUCGUUGAUCGCGAGAGCUUGUCAUGGGCUAAGUUGGGACACCCCUGCAGGGUAUAAUCUUUUGAAAGCCGUGCCUGCGGUUAUAGGCAGAUGGGAAUUUGUUAAUGUCUGGUUGUAGAUAACUUAACACCAGAUCCGAAUUAAAACGCAUCAACCGCGUGUGUAGCCGUGAUGGUCUCUUCUCGGCGGAGUCCGGGAAGUGAACACGGUUUCUGAGUUAUGUUUGACGUAAGUAGGAGUUUAGGAUCACUUCUUGAUCAUUGCUAGUUGACGACCGUUUUGCUUGCUCUCUUCUCGCUCUUAUUUGCGUAUGUUAGCCACCAUACUUGCUUAGUCGCUGCUGCAGCCUCACCACUUUACCCCUUGCUUUCCCUUUUAAGCUUUGCUAGUCUUGAUACCCAUGGUAAUGGGAUUGCUGAGUCCUCGUGGCUCACAGAUUACUACAACCACAGUUGCAGGUACAGGUUAUUCGAUGAUCAUGAUGCGAGAGCGAUGCUUGCUUGCAUUGAGUUCUUCUUCUGCUUCUUCUUCGAUCAGGGGAUAGGUUCCAGGUCGGCAGCCUGGGCUAGCAGGGUGGAUGUUGUUUGAGUUUCUGUUUGUGUUUCAUCCAUAGUCGGAUGAUGCUCUUAUGUAUUGUGAUGUUGUAUUCAUGUGGCAUUGUAUGCCUUUUGUAUGUAUCCCCAUGUAUUAUGUAAUGUUGAUGUAAUGAUAUCCACCUUGCAAAAGCGUUUCAAUAUGCGGGUCUAUCCUUGGUGGGACCUUCGAGUUCCUUUUGGAUAGGGUCGCAUAUUGGGCAUGACAGGGAACCUCUUUUGCCCUCCUGUCUUUGGUGGCCGGGGCUCCUCGUCAUCGUCAUCACUUUGCGACCCUUUAUCCUUGUUGUCGGCAUUUGACUUGCCGGCAUGUUUGAAGACCCGACAUUCUCUGUUGGUAUAAUUAGCUAGUGUACCUGGGGUGCCGUGAAUUUGGCAUGGACGGUCGAGUAUGCGUUCCGGACUGGACGUGCCCGGAUUCUUUCUUUUGAAUGGUUUCUUUCUUUGACGGUGUUAGAGCCGCUGAAUCCGGCGUUGACAGCUGUGUCUUCGGUGCUAUCGUCGUUGUUUCGACGUUUGUGCUUGCUGCGCCGUGGUUUGCCAUUGUCGUCUCUAGAUUUAGAAUUUCCAGGUUUACUUGAGGUGCUGUUGCUACGAGCCAGCCAGCUAUCCUCUCCCGCAUAAAAGCGGGUCAUAAGCGUCGUAAGGGCUGCCAUGGAUCUCGACUUUUCUUGUCCAAGGUGUCGUGCUAGCCAUUCAUCCCGGAUGUUAUGCUUAAAGGCCGCAAGGGCUUCGGCAUCCGGACAAUCGAUGAUUUGGUUCUUUUUAGUUAAGAACCGAGUCCAGAAUUUCCUGGCUGACUCUCCGGGCUGUUGUAUUAUGUGACUUAAGUCAUCAGCGUACGUUGGUCGUACAUAGGUGCCCUGAAAGUUCUCAAGAAAUGCGUCUUCCAGGUUCUCCCAACUGCCAAUGGAGUUUUCAGGCAGACUAUUCAACCAAUGCCGAGCUGGUCCCUUGAGUUUUAGUGGGAGAUACUUGAUGGCAUGGAGAUGACCACCGCGGUCCAUAUGAAUGUGGAGAAGGAAGUCUUCAAUCCACACCGCAGGAUCUGUUGUCCCAUCAUACGAUUCGAUGUUUACGGGUUUAAACCCUUCUGGGAACUCGUGUUCCAUUACUUCAUCAGUGAAGCACAGGGGGUGUGUGGUGCCCCUAUGUCGGGCUACGUCGCGACACAGUUCGGAUGGAGCUGGUCUGUGGUAUUCAGCCUGGGCAGUUUGGUUUUUAUUGUAACUGGUGUGGCGACCGUCGUUGCACACUAGGGCGCGCCCCCGCGAUUCGUAGAUCGAUCUGGGCUGACCCGCUCUCCUUCCCAAGUCGUAACGCAGGUCAUUUGUAUGUCCUUGAAUUUUUGUGUUUGUUUUUGUUCGGCGACAUGGUGCUGGCUUGUGUUCGGGCUGAUGUGCCAGUUUGUCUCAGCCACAUGGUGGCCGAACAGCUGUAUCACGUGCUGGUAGUUUAGGCUCCAGUGUUUCAUCGUUGAACUGAGGUAACAACCUGCGCUUUGGGUAGCAUUUGGUUAGGCGCUCGAGUCCGUAUUCCUCGGAUGCCAGGACCUCGGUCCAUCUAUCAGUGAGCAAAUCUUGAUUAGCUUGAAGCUGCUGCUAUUUUUUCUUUAGGCUCUCUGUAGUGGCUAUAAACUGGCUCUUGAAGCGUGUUCGACAGGAUCCUCUGGCACGGUAAAUUCAUCGUCGCCGAGUCUCACCUUGUCCUCGGAGAGGGACAUGUAAUUAUCGUGACCCGAGUCUUUAUUUAUGGCCUGUUUGUCAGGGUUGGCUUCCCCGUCCUCCCGUCCGGCCUGUUCGAAGCUUGGCUGGGCGGGGUCUUCUUGGUUAUCUUCGAUAUUGUCCGGAGUGCUAUUGUCUCCUGCGCCAGUAUUGCUAUUUUUACCAUGGCGUGGUUUAGAGCGGCGCCGCUGAUGUCGGCGCUUCGGCUGCUUCUCGGGAGGCUUGUCCUCACCUGUAUCCUUUUUGUCCUCGCCAUUAUCUUCUUUGAGGGUAUCCACCAUGUAAAUGUCGUAUGACGAGGUGGUUGUCCAGCGCCCUAUGGGCGGUGGUUCCUCUUCUUCUCCCGCAUCGUCGUCCAUACCAUCAAUGUCUUUGGAGUCGAAGUCAAGCAUGUCGGUCAAGUCGUCGACAUUGGCUAUCAAGUGGGUGGUGGGUGGCCAGCGAAGUUCUUCGUCGUCCAUUUCCCACUCAAGCCGAACAUAGUUCGGCCAAGAAUCCCCUGCCAAGGAGAGAGACUUUAAUGAGUUUAGCACAUCACCCAAGGGUGAGUGUUGAAAGAUGUCCGCGGAGGCAAACUCCAAGGUCGGCGCCCAAUUAGAUUCGACGGGCGCGGACACUCACGUUUCGGAACCUGUAUCCGGAGAUGGGUCUGAGGGUCCGAUGGCACAUACCUCAAAAUAGGUUCGAUCUGCGUUUGGCUCCAGCGCCAUAGAGUAUGCGGCUUCCAUGGUGGGGUCCAGCCCCCCGUCCCCGGACGGCGCGAUCUGUUCUGGAUCUAGGGUCAGGACAGUCACAGGCGAUGUCUCCUGAGCAUAGUCUGAUGAUAGAUUUAAGUCAUGUUCAUCGUGGCUACAGGGAGUGGCUGUCAUGGGUUCGAAUCCGUCAAAGAUCAAGUCUCCGCGGAUGUCAGUGAUGUAGUUCAAACUUCCAAACCUUAUCCGAUGGCCAGGGGCGUAGCUGUCGAUCUGCUCCAUAUGGCCAAGUGAGUUGGCCCGCAGUGCGAAGCCGCCGAAUACAAAGAUCUGUCCAGGGAGAAAAGUCUCACCCUGGACUGCAUUGUUGUAGAUGAUUGAAGGAGCCAUCAAGCCUUAUGAUGACUACACAGUGGAACUCUCAAUGAAAGCACCAAUGUCGGUGUCAAAACCGGCGGAUCUCGGGUAGGGGGUCCCGAACUGUGCGUCCAAGGCUAAUGGUAACAGGAGGCAGGGGACAUGAUGUUUACCCAGGUUUGGGCCUUCUCUAUGGAGGUAAUACCCUACUUCCUGCUGAAGGAAAUAUGCCCUAGAGGCAAUAAUAAAGUUAUUAUUUAUUUCCUUAUUUCAUGAUAAAUGUUUAUUAUUCAUGCUAGAAUUGUAUUUACCGGAAACAUAAUACAUGUGUGAAUAUAUAGACAAACAAAGUGUCACUAGUAUGCCUCUACUUGACUAGCUCGUUAAUCAAAGAUGGUUAUGUUUCCUAACCAUGAACAAUGAGUUGUUAUUUGAUUAACGAGGUCACAUCAUUAGCUGAAUGAUCUGAUUGACAUGACCCAUUCCAUUAGCUUAGCACCCGAUCGUUUAGUAUGUUGCUAUUGCUUUCUUCAUAACUUAUACAUGUUCCUAUGACUAUGAGAUUAUGCAACUCCCGUUUACCGGAGGAACACUUUGGGUACUACCAAACGUCACAACGUAACUGGGUGAUUAUAAAGGAGUACUACAGGUGUCUCCAAUGGUCGAUGUUGGGUUGGCGUAUUUCGAGAUUAGGAUUUGUCACUCCGAUUGUCGGAGAGGUAUCUCUGGGCCCUCUCGGUAAUACACAUCACAUAAGCCUUGCAAGCAUUACAACUAAUAUGUUAGUUGUGAGAUGAUGUAUUACGGAACGAGUAAAGAGACUUGCCGGUAACGAGAUUGAACUAGGUAUUGGGUACCGACGAUCGAAUCUCGGGCAAGUAACAUACCGAUGACAAAGGGAACAACGUAUGUUGUUAUGCGGUCUGACCGAUAAAGAUCUUCGUAGAAUAUGUAGGAGCCAAUAUGGGCAUCCAGGUCCCGCUAUUGGUUAUUGACCGGAGACGUGUCUCGGUCAUGUCUACAUUGUUCUCGAACCCGUAGGGUCCGCACGCUUAAGGUUACGAUGACAGUUAUAUCAUGAGUUUACAUGUUUUGAUGUACCGAAGGAGUUCGGAGUCCCGGAUGAGAUUGGGGACAUGACGAGGAGUCUCGAAAUGGUCGAGACGUAAAGAUUCAUAUAUUGGAUGAUAUGAUUAGGCCAAGGGGUCAAGCCCAUGAGGCUUUAGAUCGGUGCAAAAGGAGUUUUGCGGAGUUCAGGGGGCCAAACGCCGGAGACCCUGGCGUCUGGCCCUGGGCCAGACGCCGAGGCCCAUGGCGUCUGGGCCAGACGCCAAGGAUUGUGGCGUUUGGUCCUGGAGUCCGAGUGGGACUCUUGCCUUUCGGGAAAAACCGACUUUGAGGAGGCUUUUGCUCCAAGUUUCGACCCCGGGGCUCAACAUAUAAAUAGAGGGGCAGGGCUAGCACCAAAGACACAACAAUUGAUCCCUUGGAUCUCUUAGCCGUGUGCGGUGCCCCCCUCCACCAUAGUCCACCUCGAUAAUAUCGUAGCGGUGCUUAGGCGAAGCCCUGCGACGGUAGAACAUCAAGAUCGUCACCACGCCGUCGUGCUGACGGAACUCUCCCUCGACACUCGGCUGGAUCGGAGUUCGAGGGACGUCAUCGAGCUGAACGUGUGCUAGAACUCGGAGGUGCCGUAGUUUCAGUGCUUGAUUGGUCGGGCCGUGAAGACGUACGACUACAUCAACCGCGUUGUGCUAACGCUUCCGCUUACGGUCUACAAGGGUAUGUAGACAACACUCUCCCCUCUCGUUGCUAUGCAUCACAUGAUCUUGCGUGUGCGUAGGAAUUUUUUUGAAAUUACUACGAAACCCUACAGUGGCAUCCGAGCCUAGGUUAUUUAUGUUGAUGUUAUAUGCACGAGUAGAACACAAGUGAGUUGUGGACGAUACAAGUCAUACUGCCUACCAGCAUGUCAUACUUUGGUUCGGCGGUAUUGUUGGACGAGACGACCCGGACAAACCUUACGCGUACGCUUACGCGAGACCGGUUCCCUCGACGUGCGUUGCACAUAGAUGGCUUGCGGGCAUCUGUCUCUCCAACUUUAGUUGAACCGAGUGUGGCUACGCCCGGUCCUUGCGAAGGUUAAAACGGAGUCUAUUUGACAAACUAUCGUUGUGGUUUUGAUGCGUAGGUGAGAUUGGUUCUUACUUAAGCCUGUAGCAGCCACGUAAAACAUGCAACAACAAAGUAGAGGACGUCUAACUUGUUUUUACAGGGCAUGUUGUGAUGUGAUAUGGUCAAAGCAUGAUGCUGAAUUUUAUUGUAUGAGAUGAUCAUGUUUUGUAACCGAGUUAUCGGCAACUGGCAGGAGCCAUAUGGUUGUCGCCUUAUUGUAUGCAAUGCAAUCGCGAUGUAAUGCUUUACUUUAUUACUAAACGGUAGUGAUAGUCGUGGAAGCAUAAGAUUGGCGAGACGACAAUGAUGCUACGAUGGAGAUCAAGGUGUCGCGCCGGUGACGAUGGUGAUCAUGACGGUGCUUCGUAGAUGGAGAUCACAAGCACAAGAUGAUGAUGGCCAUAUCAUAUCACUUAUAUUGAUUGCAUGUGAUGUUUAUCUUUUUAUGCAUCUUAUCUUGCUUUGAUUGACGGUAGCAUUAUAAGAUGAUCUCUCACUAAAUUAUCAAGAAGUGUUCUCCCUGAGUAUGCACCGUUGCGAAAGUUCUUCGUGCUGAGACACCACGUGAUGAUCGGGUGUGAUAGGCUCUACGUUCAAAUACAACGGGUGCAAAACAGUUGCGCACGCAGAAUACUCAGGUUAAACUUGACGAGCCUAGCAUAUGCAGAUAUGGCCUCGGAACACGGAGACCGAAAUGUCGAGCGUGAAUCAUAUAGUAGAUAUGAUCAACAUAGUGAUGUUCACCAUUGAAACUACUCCAUCUCACGUGAUGAUCGGACAUGGUUUAGUUGAUUUGGAUCACGUGAUCACUUAGAGGAUUAGAGGGAUGUCUGUCUAAGUGGGAGUUCUUAAGUAAUAUGAUUAAAUGAACUUAAAUUUAUCAUGAACUUAGUCCUGGUAGUAUUCUGCAAAUUAUAGAUCAAUAGCUCGCGUUGUUGCUUCCCUGUGUUUAUUUUGAUAUGUUCCUAGAGAAAAUUGUGUUGAAAGAUGUUAGUAGCAAUGAUGCGGAUUGGAUCCGUGAUCUGAGGAUUAUCCUCAUUGCUGUACAGAAGAAUUAUGUCCUUGAUGCACCGCUAGGUGACAGACCUAUUGCAGGAGCAGAUGCAAACGUUAUGAACGUUUAGCUAGCUCAAUAUGAUGACUACUUGAUAGUUUAAGUGCACCAUGCUUAACGGCUUAGAAUCGGGACUUCAAAGACGUUUUGAACGUCAUGGACCAUAUGAGAUGUUCCAGGAGUUGAAGUUAAUAUUUCAAGCAAAUACCCGAGUUGUGAGAUAUGAAGUCUCCAACAAGUUCUAUAGCUAAAAGAUGGAGGAGAAUUGCUCAACUAGUGAGCAUGUGCUCAGAUUGUCUGGGUACUACAAUCGCUUGAAUCAAGUGGGAGUUAAUCUUCCAGAUAAGAUAGUGAUUGACAUAAUUCUCUAGUCACCAUCACCAAGUUAGUAGAACUUCGUGAUGAACUAUAAUAUGCAAGGGAUAACGGAAACAACUCCCAAGCUCUUCGUGAUGAUGAAAUCAAUGAAGGUAGAAAUCAAGAAAAACAUCAAGUGUUGAUGGUUGAUAAGACCACUAGUUUCAAGAAAAGGGCAAAGGGAAGAAGGGGAACUUCAAGAAGAACGGCAAGCAAGUUGCUGCUCAAGUGAAGAAGCCCAAGUCUGGUCCUAAGCCUGAGACUAAGUGCUUCUACUGCAAAGGGACUGGUCACCGGAAACGGAAUCACCCCAAGUGAUUGGCGGAUAAGAAGGAUGGCAAAGUGAACAUAAGUAUAUUUGAUAUACAUGUUAUUGAUGUGUACUUUACUAGUGUUUAUAGCAAACCCUAAGUAUUUGAUACUAGUUCAGUUGCUAAGAUUAGUAACUCGAAACGGGAGUUGCAGAAUAAACAGAGACUAGUUAAGGGUGAAGUGACGAUGUGUGUUGGAAGUGGUUCCAAGAUUGAUAUGAUCAUCAUCGCACACUCCCUAUAAUUUCGGGAUUAGUGUUGAAACUAAAUAAGUGUUAUUUGGUGAGCAUGAAUAUGAUUUGAUCAUGUUUAUUGUAAUACGGUUAUUCAUUUAAGUAAAAGAAUAAAUUGUUGUUCUGUUUACAUGAAUAAAACUUUAUAUGGUUACACACCCAAUGAAAAUAGUUCAUUGGAUCUCGAUCUUAGUGAUACACAUAUUCAUAAUAUUGAAACCAAAAGAUGUAAAGUUAAUAAUGAUAGUGCAACUUAUUUAUGGCACUGCCGUUUAGGUCAUAUUGGUGUAAAGCACAUGAAGAAACUCCAUGCUGAUGGGAUUUUGGAAUCACUUGAUUAUGAAUCACUUGAUGCUUGCGAACCAUGCCUUAUGGGCAAGAUGACUAAAACGCCGUUCUCCGGAACAAUGAAGCAAGCAACAGAUUUGUUGGAAAUCAUACAUACCGAUGUAUGUGGUCCGAUGAAAGGCUUACAGCAGGUAUCAUUAUUUUCUGACCUUCACAAGAUGAUUUGAGCAGAUAUGGGGAUAUCUACUUGAUGAAACAUAAGUCUGAAAUAAUUGAAAGGUUCAAAGAAUUUCAGAGUGAAGUGGAAAAAUCAUCGUAACAAGAAAAAUAAAGUUUCUGCGAUCUGAUCACGGAGACGAAUAUUUGAGUUACGAGUUUGGUCUUCAAUUAAAACAAUGUGGAAUAGUUUCAUAGCUCACGCCACCUGGAACACCACAAUGUUAUGGUGUGUCCGAACGUCGUAACCGCGCUUUAUUGGAUAUGGUGCGAUCUAUGAUGUCUCUUAUUGAUUUACCAUUGUCGUUUUGGGGUUAUGCAUUAGAGACAACUGCAUUCACGUUAAAAGGGCACCAUCUAAAUCCGUUGAGACGACACUAUAUGAACUGUGGUUUAGCAAGAAACCCAAGUUGUCGUUUCUUAAAGUUUGGGGCUGCGAUGCUUAUGUGAAAAAGUUUCAUCCUGAUAAGCUCGAACCCAAAUCGGAGAAGUGCGUCUUCAUAGAAUACCCAAAGGAAAUUGUUGGGUACACCUUCUAUCACAGAUCCAGAGGCAAGAUAUUCAUUGCUAAAAAUGGAUCCUUUCUGGAGAAGGAGUUUCUCUCGAAAGAAGUGAGUGGGAGGAAAGUAGAACUUGAUGAGGUAACUGUACCUGCUCCCUUAUUGGAAAGUAGUUCAUCACAGAAAUCAGUUCCUGUGACAAAUACACCAAUUAGUGAGGAAGCUAAUGAUAUUGAUCAUAAAACUUCAGAUCAAGUUACUAGAGAACCUCGUAGGUCUUCCAGAGUAAGAUCUGCACCAGAGUGGUGUAGUAAUCAUGUUCUGGAAGUCAUGUUACUAGACCAUGAUGAACCUACGAACUAUGAGGAAGCGAUGAUGAGCCCAGAUUCCGCGAGAUGGCUUGAGGCCAUAAAAUCUGAGAUAUGAUCCAUGUAUGACAACAAAGUAUGGACUUUGAUUGACUUGCUCGAUGAUCAGCAAAGCCAUGUUAAAUAAAUGGAUCUUCAAGAGGAAGACGGACACUGAUAGUAGUGUUACUAUCUACCAAGCUCGACUUGUUGCAAAAGUUUUUCAACAAGUUCAAGGUGUUGAAUACGAUGAGGUUUUCUCACUUGUAUCGAUGCUUAAGUCUAUCUGAAUCAUGUUAGCAAUUGCCACAUUUUAUGAAAUCUGGCAAAUGGAUGUCAAAACUGCAUUCCUUAAUGGAUUUAUUAAAGAAGAGUUGUAUAUGAUGCAACCAGAAGGUUUUGUCAAUCCUAAAGGUGCUAACAAAAUGUGCAAGCUCCAGCGAUCCAUCUAUGGACUGGUGCAAGCAUCUCGGAGUUGGAAUAUACGCUUUGAUAAGUUGAUCAAAGGAUAUAGUUUUAUAUGGACUUACGAUGAAGCCUGUAUUUACAAUAAAGUGAGUGGGAGCACUACAGCCUUUCUGAUUAGUAUAUGUGAGUGACAUAUUGUUGAUCAGAAAUGAUGUAGAAUUUUUCUGCAAAGCAUAAAGGAGUGUUUUAAAGGAGUUCUUUAAAAGGAAAAGACCUCAGUAAAAAGCUACUUAUAUAUUGAGCAUCAAGAUCUAUUGAGAUAGAUCAAGACGCUUGAUAAGAUUUUCAAUGAGUACAUACCUUGGCAAGAUUUUGAAAUAGUUCAAAAUGGAACAGUUAAAGAAAGAGUUCUUGCCUGUGUUGCAAAGGUAUGAAAUUGAGUAAGACUCAAAUCCCGACCACAACAGAAAAUAGAAAGAGAAUGAAAAGUCAUUCCCUAUGCCUCAGUCAUAGGUUCUAUAAAGUAUGCUAUGCUUUGUACCAGACCUAUUGUAUACCUUGCUCUGUAUUUGGCAAGGGAGUACAAUAGUGAUCUAGGAGUAGAUCACUGGACAUUGGUCAAGAAUAUCCUUAGUGAGGACUAAGGAGAUGUUUCUCGAUUAUGGAGGUGAUAAAAGAGUUUGUUGUAAAAGUUACAUCAGUGCAAACUUUUACAUUGAUCCAGAUGACUCUAAGUCUCAAUCUGGAUACAUAUUGAAAGUGGGAGCGAUUAGCUAGAGUAGCUCCGUACAGAGCAUUGUAGACAUAGAAUAUUUGCAAAAUACAUACGGCUCUGAAUGUGACAGACCCGUUGACUAAGCUUCUCUCACGAGCAAAACAUGAUCACACCUUAGUACUCUUUGGGUGUUAAUCACAUAAGCGAUGUGAACUAGAUUAUUGACUCUAGUAAACCCUUUGGGUGUUGGUCACAUGACGAUGUGAACUAUGGGUGUUAAUCAUAUACAAAUAUGAAUAUUGGUGUUAAAUCACAUGGCGAUGUGAACUAGAUUACUGACUCUAGUGCAAGUGGGAGACUGAAGGAAAUAUGCCCUAGAGGCAAUAAUAAAGUUAUUAUUUAUUUCCUUAUUUCAUGAUAAAUGUUUAUUAUUCAUGCUAGAAUUGUAUUUACCGGAAACAUAAUACAUGUGUGAAUAUAUAGACAAACAAAGUGUCACUAGUAUGCCUCUACUUGACUAGCUCGUUAAUCAAAGAUGGUUAUGUUUCCUAACCAUGAACAAUGAGUUGUUAUUUGAUUAACGAGGUCACAUCAUUAGUUGAAUGAUCUGAUUGACAUGACCCAUUCCAUUAGCUUAGCACCCGAUCGUUUAGUAUGUUGCUAUUGCUUUCUUCAUAACUUAUACAUGUUCCUAUGACUAUGAGAUUAUGCAACUCCCGUUUACCGGAGGAACACUUUGGGUACUACCAAACGUCACAACGUAACUGGGUGAUUAUAAAGGAGUACUACAGGUGUCUCCAAUGGUCGAUGUUGGGUUGGCGUAUUUCGAGAUUAGGAUUUGUCACUCCGAUUGUCGGAGAGGUAUCUCUGGGCCCUCUCGGUAAUACACAUCACAUAAGCCUUGCAAGCAUUACAACUAAUAUGUUAGUUGUGAGAUGAUGUAUUACGGAACGAGUAAAGAGACUUGCUGGUAACGAGAUUGAACUAGGUAUUGGGUACCGACGAUCGAAUCUCGGGCAAGUAACAUACCGAUGACAAAGGGAACAACGUAUGUUGUUAUGCGGUCUGACCGAUAAAGAUCUUCGUAGAAUAUGUAGGAGCCAAUAUGGGCAUCCAGGUCCCGCUAUUGGUUAUUGACCGGAGACGUGUCUCGGUCAUGUCUACAUUGUUCUCGAACCCGUAGGGUCCGCACGCUUAAGGUUACGAUGACAGUUAUAUCAUGAGUUUACAUGUUUUGAUGUACCGAAGGAGUUCGGAGUCCCGGAUGAGAUUGGGGACAUGACGAGGAGUCUCGAAAUGGUCGAGACGUAAAGAUUCAUAUAUUGGAUGAUAUGAUUAGGCCAAGGGGUCAAGCCCAUGAGGCUUUAGAUCGGUGCAAAAGGAGUUUUGCGGAGUUCAGGGGGCCAAACGCCGGAGACCCUGGCGUCUGGCCCUGGGCCAGACGCCGAGGCCCAUGGCGUCUGGGCCAGACGCCAAGGAUUGUGGCGUUUGGUCCUGGAGUCCGAGUGGGACUCUUGCCUUUCGGGAAAAACCGACUUUGAGGAGGCUUUUGCUCCAAGUUUCGACCCCGGGGCUCAACAUAUAAAUAGAGGGGCAGGGCUAGCACCAAAGACACAACAAUUGAUCCCUUGGAUCUCUUAGCCGUGUGCGGUGCCCCCCUCCACCAUAGUCCACCUCGAUAAUAUCGUAGCGGUGCUUAGGCGAAGCCCUGCGACGGUAGAACAUCAAGAUCGUCACCACGCCGUCGUGCUGACGGAACUCUCCCUCGACACUCGGCUGGAUCGGAGUUCGAGGGACGUCAUCGAGCUGAACGUGUGCUAGAACUCGGAGGUGCCGUAGUUUCGGUGCUUGAUUGGUCGGGCCGUGAAGACGUACGACUACAUCAACCGCGUUGUGCUAACGCUUCCGCUUACGGUCUACAAGGGUAUGUAGACAACACUCUCCCCUCUCGUUGCUAUGCAUCACAUGAUCUUGCGUGUGCAUAGGAAAUUUUUUGAAAUUACUACGAAACCCUACACCUGCUUGAUUGAUCUUGAUGAUAUGAGUAUUACAAGAGUUGAUCUACCACGAGAUCCUAGAGGUUAACCCUAGAAGCUAGCCUAUGAUUAUGAUUGUUCUUGUCCUACAAACUAAACCCUUCGGUUUAUAUAGACACCGGAGGGGGCUAGGGUUACACAGAGUCGGUUACAGAGAUGGAAAUCUACAUAUCCGAAUCGCCAAGCUUGCCUUCCACGCAAUGGCGAGUCCCAUCCGGACACGAGAUGAAGUCUUCUAUCUUGUAUCUUCAAAUUCCAACAGCCCGGCUAAAGUAUAUAGUCCGGCUAUCCGAGGACCCCUUAAUCCAGGACUCCCUCAGAGGUGCCAACUCCAGAGCACAAGAAGGCAAGCACUGUUAUACAAGUGCCAACCGUUGCGCAUGUAGAGGCCAAGCUCAUCUCUACAACAUGCAAACUCCCUGGUAAAAAAAGUAACAAAACAGUGUCUUUUGCCAAGGACACAAAGUUUGCACAAAUGGGAAUAGAGUUGCCAAGCCAUGCUAUUAAGAGUGGAUCAAACAGUUAAGAGAAAGUUGUUAGUAUGCAGUGUUGGAAGUCGGCAACCCAAACAGCUGAUGUGGCAACUCCAGCUUCAAGUGAGCCAACUGUUUGUCCAAAUAAGCCAAGUACGCACUACAAAAAAAUACACUUCCGUGAUGAUACGUGUUUGUCACAGUAGGUCGCAUUUUUUGUCUUGCAUGUACAUCCAUGACAAAUUUAUGACAGAAUCAAGAUAGUCAUACCUGUGCUGUCGUAGAAGUGUUCCAUGACAUUACCAAAAUUAUCAUCACGGAAGUGUCCACUUCCAUGACGAUAAAUCGCGCGUCACAGAAGUGCUUUCGUCAAGGGUGACCGACACGUGGAAUCCACUGUAACGGAACGCUGUUAAGCUAUCGGGUCGGGUUUUGGAUCCGAUGACCCGUUAACAGCCCCGACCAAUGGGUAUUUUCCACGUGUAAAAUCAUCAUUGGCUGGAGGAAACACGUGUCGGCUCACCGUUGGGACAGAUGUCACCCACUCAUUGGACAGAAGGCGCCUAUGAUACAUCAACACGUGGCACGGCCCAACAGAGGCCCAUUCCUGUGAAAAGGCCAGCCCGUUUGAAUUGGUCAAAAGAUGGCGGGCCGGCCCAUGGAAAGCCUGUUAACGGCCUGUUCACAUAUAGCCCAUUUAUAGCCCGCUAACCCAAGGCCCGUUACGCCCUAUCCGAAUUAGGCCCAGUAGCGUCAUCUGGGCCAUCCAAUAUGAUUCCAGCCCAUUUUCACUUCUGGCCCAUGUAUGGCCCAUGACAUCUUUCGGCCCAUAUGAGGCCCUAUGUAACUCUUGGCCUAUUAAUGACCCGUGGUGAAACUGGCCCGCAAUGAACAGUGUAUCACUUUACACCCAUUAACGGCCCGUGGUGAAACUGGCCCGUAAUGAACAGUAUAUCACUUUAUACCUAUUAAGGGCCCGUUAUUCAGUUGGGCCGUUUCCAGCAAAUGUUAUCUUUCGGCCUUCUCAGAGCCCAUUUAUUCUUGGGCUCAUUUCCAGCAUUCGUUUACUUACGGCCCGUUACUGUCAUUUUCUGCUUGUGGGCCAAAUUCAGCCCGUGGUUACAUCGACCCGUUUGUGGUCCGUUAAUACAUUGGGCCGUUUUCAUAGCGUCAUCAAAUAUGGCCUAUUAACGAUGGCCCGUUAUGGUCAUACGGCCCGUAUAAGGCCCAUUGAUGAUACGGCCCAUAGAAGGCCCAUUGUUUCUACGGCCCGUAGAAGGCCCAUUGUUUCUACGGCCCGUAGAAGGCCCAUUGUUUCUAUGGCCCGUAGAAGGCCUACUGUUUAUACGGCCCGUAGAAGGCCCACUGUUUCUACGGCCUGUAGGAGGCCCAGUGUCAACAGUAAAUAUUAGCCCAUGGUUAUUGUGGCCUAGUUUUAAAAAGAACUACACUGACUACAAGCAAACAAAUAAACAAGACAACAAGGAAAUAAAUAAGCAAGCAACUUAUGCUAGGCUAUCACGGCUGUUACACAUAUUACAUCCACUGGGCAUCAAAGUUCACCACCAGUGCAAAUAUAGGGAACAAAGCAUCAUAUCAUAUACACUGGUUGUCAAAGUUGGCGACCAGCACAAAUAAACGCCACAGCAAAACAAAUCCAGAACUGAAACCACUUCAGAAGAUCUCAAGAAACAAUAUCCUGGGUACCCAUAAUGCUGGCAAGAUGCUUAGCAAGCUUAUUAACUUUCUCUUGUUUGGCGCUUAAAUCCUCCAGCGCUUGCUGUUGCACCAGAAAAUAUGCAUCUGAAUUCUGUAGGGACUUCCUCAGUCCUUCAGCUUCCUGUUGUAGCACAUCUGAUCGAUGUCUUUCAACUUGAAGUUGAGACUCAAGAAGACGAACUGAUUCAGGCAGCGAGUUCGAAGAGCUUGUGCCAGCAGUAGUGGCCAGUAACUCGAACACUACAUCAAGACAGGACUUUUGGGUUCCCUCACUGUCGUCAAGAUAGUUUUUAUCAGCUUUCUUGGAGACCAACAUGGGUGUUUCACUGUCUUGGACCUUAUCUGCAUUACUUCCUUUACCAUUGGAUAACGCGGUACUGUUCUCCAAUAUUUUGUCCGCAUUCUAAAAGAGAAACAAGCAGACACAUCACAUGUUUACCAUGUUGUAUAUGAAACUCAUUUUGGUAAAUGAGUUCAGUAGUAAAGUGGACAAGAUAACAGCAUGAAACAAACAUAUAUCUUUGUACCAUGGUCACUUUAUGGUCUAUAUCAUUCUAGUUUUUGUUGCUAAA